GGGGAAUAUUGGGCAAUGGGCGAAAGCCUGACCCAGCGACGCCGCGUGGGUGAUGAAGGCCUUCGGGUUGUAAAACCCUUUCGUGCGGAAAGAAUAGUCCUGUAACGAAUAACUACGGGAUUUGACGGUACCGCAGGAAGAAGCACCGGCUAACUCCGUGCCAGCAGCCGCGGUAAUACGGAGGGUGCAAGCGUUGUUCGGAAUUAUUGGGCGUAAAGGGCGCGUAGGUAGUUGUGAUAGUCAGAUGUGAAAUCCUUCGGCUCAACCGAAGAACUGCAUCUGAAACUUCAUAGCUCGAGUACAGGAGAGGGAAACGGAAUUCCCGGUGUAGAGGUGAAAUUCGUAGAUAUCGGGAGGAACACCAGUGGCGAAGGCGGUUUCCUGGCCUGAUACUGACGCUGAGGCGCGAAAGCGUGGGGAGCAAACAG
rnacentral:rRNA from 1 species